CCUACGGGUGGCAGCAGUGAGGAAUAUUGGUCAAUGGGCGCGAGCCUGAACCAGCCAAGUAGCGUGAAGGAUGACUGCCCUACGGGUUGUAAACUUCUGUUAUAAAGGAAUAAAGUGAGGCACAUGUGCCUUUUUGUAUGUACGUUAUGAAUAAGGAUCGGCUAACUCCGUGCCAGCAGCCGCGGUAAUACGGAGGAUCCGAGCGUUAUCCGGAUUUAUUGGGGUUAAAGGGAGCGUAGAUGGGUUGUUAAGUCAGUUGUGAAAGUUUGCGGCUCAACCGUAAAAUUGCAAUUGAUACUGGCAGUCUUGCGUACAGUUGCGGUAGGCGGCAUUCGUGUUGUAGCGG
rnacentral:rRNA from 1 species